AGUCCAAACUGGCGAAAAAGUGCGUUUUAGGGUCAGUUUUUGCGGUUUUCAAAAAAAAAAUUUCACUACUUCUAGUUGUCCUAUAAGAAUAAAAAUUAUAUGUCAAUAAAGUUUAAGUCUUUAUCUGUCGUAAUCUGGUAUUUUUAUAUCUGUAACACAUGUCUGAAUGUGUUUUAUAUUUGUUUGAAAAGUAUCAGUUACGUCAACAAAUUUCACCGUUUUGCGUGUACCGAUCGACCCCACACUGUUUUAUUUGGUCGCGGCUUCGCGACGAAGCAUCGUAGAAGCAUAAUCUUAAUGUCAUUUUAAAGAUCGAAUUCUAGGCUAUCGUUUGAUGUAUAAAUUGAAAAAAUAACUUGUUUAUUUCAUUUAAAAAAUACAGAUUUUAAACUUUAAAUGACGAUAUAUACACGGAAACAAACUAAUUCUGUUUCAAUUUUUACACCGAUGUAAAGUUCAGUUUUAUAACUACUUUGUGUUGUAAAUUCAAGUAUUUCUGAUUUACGGUCGCGAAGCCGUACCCCCAAUAAACAUAUAACCCUCGAGUCGACUUUCAGCCCCGAGUAAGUUGCUCGCCGAACGGUUUUAAAGGUUGACGACCGAUGAUGCUAAACGGAUUUUACCCUUGCUAGAGCCUUCAAACAAGUUCUGGAGACAUUUACAGUGGCCUAUCCAGAACUUUCCUUACAAGGGAAGGGAAGAAGGCCAAGACCCCACUCCCCCCUACAAUUCCCAAAACAUAUUACUUACUCAUGAUGCUCCACAAGAUCAAGGUUGAGGGAAACAAGACGUACAAAGAUGUGGAGUUGUAGUUUUAAAAACUGUUCCCCCAAAGCAGUUAUCAACCGUAUAGGUUUGAAAAGAAACCAAAGCAUGUGGCAUCAACUGCUGCAUCACUUGUAGG